UUUGCAUCCGGAAAAGAUAAAAGAUGAUUAAGU
rnacentral:snoRNA from 1 species